UUACUCUGCUUGAAAAAGCCGCCAUUUGCCACCUACCCUUCGGGAUUAGUUCUUCGAAGUUCAAACCCGUGUUUGGUGUGUUGUGUAUAGUGAUUGCGUCGUUUGACUUCGCGUAUUCGACCCUAUUUUUGUUUGAUUCCGAUUCCCGUCUAGCCAUUCUGAUUUGUUUGCUUAUUAGAUCUCGUGUAUGACCACUGAAUCGUUCCCUUCGACUCCGACUCUUUCCUUAGCUCUUCUAGUUUUUUAGUCCGUGAUUUUGUGUUUCUGACCAUUCGCAAAAUCAGUAACACAGAACUGAGGGCUCGUCGUCUACUAUGGCUAGGUUUGAUUAGGAAGAUGUUACUAUUUGUCAGACUGUGGAACAGUCUGGUCGUUGCCGAAAGGACGAUCUGCUACUUAUAGCAGAUUUAUUUAGUGUGACUGUGCCCAGGAAUAAAACUAAACGGGAAAUAAAAAAUUGGUAGCUCAGAAAAUCCGACCUGACGAAGAGGAGUUCAUGGGUGUUGCAGCUGAAUUGGAACCACUGCAGACUACGGCUACGGCGUAGGCUGAAGCCGUGUCUGACGUAUCUCCAUGCAUAUUAUCCCGGCGUUUCACGCUAAUUUCUAGCUAACCCAGUGCUCGCUCUGUGUUUUAAAAGAACUUUAGCUAAGCAGGCAAGAGUGUCAGAGCCAGUUGCUGCAGUUUUCUGACCGUCAGGUCAAGUCAAAGGAACUGGAACUGCGAGCGAAGGAAGGGAGGCCUACUCCAAUGCCACGGAAAUCCCUGCUUUGUUCGCCCGUUGUCCCCUGUGCCUGUCAGUGCAUCGCCUCCCGCGCCAGCUCAAGAGGCUUCCGAAGGCACCGCUUUCACAUGCAGUAUGGGAACCAGCUGUCAUACGGGUCUGCUUGUUUUAAUGGGGAGAGCUUUGCCAUCUCAAGCAUCACUGCGUUAUCUUUGCUGAGCAAAGAUUUUGUAGUAACGACGGAAUUCUCCUGCUCGGGUUGGGUCCACUUCACUACCCCACCCCACACACUUAGAAGUGAUGAUGAAGAUCAGCUGGUACAGUAACCAGGGCUGUAAAGAGGCAAUUUGCUAUCCUGAUAGUGACUCAUUUCACAUCGCUCCAUCCCCGCCCGGCUGCCCCCAAGAUUAAUUUAUCCUGUACUCGGCGUGGCAAACGUCAUCUUUUCAGUCCGUCCACUCUCGCUGCGAUGUGCCACACAAAACCUGCCCAUCAGAAUUCUCUGCUCUCCGUGGUCCCUAAGAUCGGCAAUUUUGAGGAUUCCACACUGUCAAAAACCCACCGGCGUGGCUUUUGUCACAGAUAUGACGAGGAGUGUCGUGUUCCUUCAGCUGAUGGUGGAAAUUGCUUCCUCUGGACUGAAAGUACUGAGGAAACAUCACCACAUAGCACUGCUUGCGCAUUCAUGUGUGAAUACCCAUUUAAAAAAUUUUUUUUAUGGGAUCAGUCAUGGUGACGCCUUGGCUGAAAAACUGGAAAUGCAAAAAAUAUUAUUAGUUCUAGGUACCUACGAGUGGGGAGAAAUCUUCUUUCUUGAAUGUUCUUUCUUGAAGGGGAGCUAACGGGCUGAUGUGGCAGAUAGCGCCCCCAAAUGGACUGACAUAUGCACCCAUUUCCUGCCUCAAUGUCUGUCAUUAGAUCAUAUGUGGGUGAGUGUAAUAAAAGGCGAAAUGAG